rnacentral:misc_RNA from 1 species
AACUUUCGGCAACGGAUCUCUUGGUUCUCGCAUCGAUGAAGAACGCAGCGAAAUGCGAUAAGUAAUGUGAAUUGCAGAAUUCAGUGAAUCAUAGAAUCUUUGAACGCACCUUGCGCUCCUUGGUAUUCCGAGGAGCAUGCCUGUUUGAGUGUCCUUUAAUUCCCAACCUUCCAGCUUUUAUUAGCUUGGUUAGGCUUGGAUGUGGGGGUUGUGGGCUUCAUUAAUGAGGUCAGCUCUCCUUAAAUGCAUUAGCGGAACUUUUGUGGACUGUCUAUUGGUGUGAUAAUUAUCUACGCCGUGGAUGUGAAGCAGUUUUAUGAAGUUCAGCUUCUAAUCGUCCAUUGACUUGGACAAUUUUUGACAAUUUGACCUCAAAUCAGGUAGGACUACCCGCUGAACUUAAGCAUAUCAAUAAGCGGAGGCU